CGGCCGGAGGGGCCGUGUGAGCGGAGCGCGGACGCCGAUGCCGCGGAGGGCCGCGCCGAGGAGGCGGGGGGCAGCGGCUGCCGCAGGAGCUCCUUGGAGACGCUGAGAGCCUCGAGCCCCUCGAUCGGCGCCGAGCCGCGGGCCGGCGGCGGAGGACAUGCGGCGGCGCGAGGGGCUCGGCCCGGCGGCAGGGAGGCGGGGGGGCGGCCCGGCCGGGCUCGCCGUCCUGCUGUCGCUGCUCCUGGGGAGCGGUGGGGCGGCCCCGCUUCCGCCGGCGGGCGCAGGACAAGGAGCGGCAGCUGAAGUUUCCUCAUCUUUUGCCAUUCUAUCUGUCUGUGCUCUGGUAGUACUGGUGGUACUGCUUGCAAACUGUGUCUCCUGCUGCAAAGACCCAGAGAUCGAUUUCAAGGAAUUUGAAGAUAACUUUGAUGAUGAAAUAGAUUUCACGCCCCCAGCAGAAGAUACUCCGUCUGUUCAGUCUCCAGCAGAAGUUUUUACUCUUUCAGUUCCCAAUAUUGCUUUACCAACUCCAUCUCAGUUUCCAUCUCGUGCAGAUGGAUCAAAGUCUCAAGUUGCACGUCAGAGUCUAAACUACAUCCAGGAAAUUGGAAAUGGCUGGUUUGGAAAGGUCCUGCUUGGAGAAAUCUACACAGGCAGUAGUGUGGCACGAGUGAUAGUGAAGGAGUUAAAAGCAAGUGCGGGUCUCAAGGAGCAAGAACAGUUUUUAAGAAGUGGAGAACCAUACUACAUUCUUCAGCAUCCAAAUGUUCUCCAGUGUAUUGGGCAAUGUGUGGAAGCCAUUCCUUAUCUCCUAGUCUUUGAGUUCUGUGACUUGGGUGACCUGAAAACUUACAUCUGCAAUGAGCAGGACCACAUUAGAGGAGAUUCACAAAUCAUGCUGCUACAGAGAAUGGCAUGUGAGAUUGCUGCUGGACUUGCUGUAAUGCAUAAACAUAAUUUUGUGCAUAGUGACUUGGCCUUACGAAAUUGCUUUCUUACGUCUGAUUUAAAUGUCAAAGUAGGAGAUUAUGGUAUAGGAUUCAGUAGGUACAAGGAAGAUUAUAUUGAGACAGAUGGGAAGAAACUUGUUCCUCUCCGAUGGACUGCACCUGAGUUAGUAACGAGUUUUCAAGACAAACUGUUAUCAGCAGAGCAAAAUAAAUACAGUAACAUAUGGUCCCUGGGUGUGACGUUAUGGGAGCUGUUUGAGAAUGCUGCUCAGCCUUACUCAGAUUUCUCUGACAGGGAAGUGUUAACCCAUGUCAUAAAAGAGAAGCAGGUUAAACUUUUUAAGCCACAUCUGGAGCAGCCAUACUCUGAUAGAUGGUAUGAAGUUCUGCAAUUCUGCUGGCUACCUCCAGAGAAGAGACCAACAGCAGAAGAAGUGCAUAGACUUCUAACUUACCUUCGCAUGCAAAGCCAAAGGGACUCAGAGAUUGAUUUUGAACAGCAAUGGAAUGCUCUUAAACCAAACACCUCAAAUAGAGAAACAAAUAAUUCUGCAUUUCCAAUCUUAGAUCACUUCACAGGAGAUAGACUUGGCCAUGAAAUGGAGGAGGUUCUUACUGUAACUGAAACAAGCCAGGGUCUGAGCUUUGAAUAUAUCUGGGAAGCAGCUAAACAUGAUCAUUUUGAUGAGUGUGGUCAUGUGAAUCCUGAUGAAGCAAUGACAUACACAAGUAUUUUCUUUCCAGUGGAGGUUUUUGAAAGGUCCCUUUCAGAGCAAGGGCCAGGAGCACAGGAUGGAAGUGGUCAGGAAGCAUCACGAGCUGUUCCUGGGGUGUUACCUGUGUUUGAUGCACACAAACUUUCAGUUGGAAAUGACUACUAUAUCCAGUUAGAGGAAAAAGGUAGUGGCUGCAGCAUGAAUUUCGAUAACCAAUCAGUUGUACUGACUACAGAAGUUGAUCAAGAAGCUGUACAAGAAAAAAGUUCUCAUUUCAUGGUUCUCAGGGAUCUUGAUGUUGAAGAAUCUAGCACUGAUGGGGACUUCUUCCACUACAAUACAGAUCCCAAAGAGGAAUUUUUACCUGCUACUAGUAGUCCAGAAAGUCCUUUCCAAAGUAUAUUUAAUGACAUUGACAGAUCAGAAGAAUUAAUAAAUAAAAAAGUACUUGGUUUUGCUGAAACAAAUAAUAUUCCUAAAGACUUUAAACCAACUGUUUUAAACUCAAACACAGAUAUUACGAAUGUCACAGGUUUUGGUGAGAAAGAGCAUUCUACUCAUGCUUCUGAAAACAAAACAGUUGCUGUAUGUGAAAACAUCUCUAACCAGUCUGAGUUGGUAACUUUAGAAGAACUUUCUGAUAACUUCUUGUUUCUUCAAGAGAAAAACUUAUUAACGGGGAUACUGCCUAAUAAAACCAGCAGUGAUUUUGGGCAAAAAACAGAAGCUGUUCUAAAAACCACAAGUAGGAGCUCUGUAGAGCCUGAGCCUGUAUUGGCUGAGAAUGUGCAGGUCUUUUCUUUAAUACAUGAAAAUUCUGGAACUGUGAAAGAUGAAAACUUUAACCCAGUAGCAGUGGAUAAAGAUACAAAUUCUCAGUGUCAGACUACCAGAGAGAUAGAGGCAUCCUCUAGUCCACCUGCAGUGUAUAAGUUGCAUGAUAAAGAUACAAGUCUUCCUUAUUUGAAGGAUGAGAGGAAACUUUCAAAUGUGGAAGUCAACCAAGCCUUGUUCUGUAACACUGAUACUUUCUUUCAAGAGCUGUCCAGUAAUGCAAAAAAUAAUAAUGUUGGAAAGAAUUCAUAUUACAGCACUGCUGCUGAAGCAGAUCAGAGUGAUGUACAAAUAAAACAGGGAAUACUUUCCGAGUCUGAUGAAAUAGCUCUUAAUAGGGAAAAAUGGGAUCAGGAAGGUAUGGAAAGAAACUUGCAAUGUAAGUCUCCCAUACUUAAAAAAGAUGAAGAUUUGUUAGAGGAAAGACAGGAAACAUCCAAUAAUUUUGAGAACUGUAAGGACGUUCCAGAAGAGGUGAUCUUAAUUUCUGUUGGUGCUUCAGACUGCGCAAGUCAGGACAGUCUUUUGGAAGAUAGCCCAUCUCCUAGGGAAACUGUAGACCAAGUCUUAGAGACGCCUGAUUCUUUGGAUUCUUUAGAUGUAAUAGAAGUUUUAGAAUCCUUACAGGCUCAAAGUCCUCAAAAACUUUUGCCUCCUGAUAAGCCUGCUGACAGCGGCUAUGAAACAGAGAAUCUGGAGUCUCCAGAAUGGACUUCCCAUGUUACUGUUGAGGAUGCUUCCAGUGGGGAUACUGCUCACUGUGGUGUCAGUGACAGCAGUGUCAAUGAUCUGCCUUCUAAUCCAGUCAUAAUUGUUUCAGAAGCAGCACCUUGCUUAGAUGCAGUAAACAGCAACUUUGAAAUAACCCCAUUAUCAAAUCAAAAUUCAUACAGAGACUCUGCCUAUUUCUCUGAUAAUGAUUCCGAGCCAGAUAAGAAAACAGAAGAGACUGUAAAUCUAUCAAGGGAGACUACCUGUGGUGCUUCUUCAAAUAGAGGAGAAAAUAAUAAUGAGAAGGAUUACUGUUUGGAAGAGAGACCGCAAAAGCACAAUGUAAGGAAUUACCAGGAUACCUGUAUUCAGAAUAUAAAACCUGAACUGAAUUGUAAGAUAGAGAGGGAAGAGCUGGAUGUAAGGGUGGAGGGAUGUCCUGAGGAGUGGACUGAGGCAACUCUGAAUUCCCUGGAGAUAUCAAUGGGAGAUAAUGUGAGGGAUGAAAUAAAGCCCUCUGAGACUUGCCAUAAAAGUGUCUCUUGCGUUGGCACCAACACUUCAGAACUUCUUUCACACAGAGACUUUAAGUCUGUGCAUAACAUACACAAUUCUUUAGAUUCCAAUGAUAGUGAGAAACUCUUCUACCAUAACGAAGGACAAAAGCUGAAAGAGCCAGAUAUUGAAGGUAAAUACCUUGGCAAGCUUGAUGUUUCUGGAAUGCUUGAUUUAGAAGACGGUGAUGAUGCAGAUGAGGAAGAUGAAAACAGUGAUUCUGAGGAUGACAUGAGGACUUUUCACAUGCACAGCCUGAGUUCUGACAGUGAGGAUGAAACUGUUCACCAGGUUCCUGAGAUACUUACUGACAAGGAUGAUGGAAAACAUCUGAGAAGCUUACUGAAACUUCCCAAACCGCUUCAUGAAAGGCAACCGGAGCACUGGAAAAACGAGAAGAAGGCUGUAACGUUCUUUGAUGAUGUCACGGUCUAUCUGUUUGAUCAGGAAACACCAACUAAGGAAUUGGGAAACCGUGUAGCAGACUUGAAUGGCGAAGGCUCUCACAGCACUCCUGCUCCAUCUCCGGGUUUUAGUUACUUCAACAGAUUUACGAAUUCAGAAAGCUCAACAGAUGAAGAAGGUGGUGGUUUUGAAUGGGAUGAUGACUUCUCUUCCUCGGAGCCAUCCUUUAUAUCAAAGGCAGCUAAUAGCCUUAUUAGCUCUAAACCACCUCUUCAGUCAAAGUACUUCUCUCCACCUCCUCCUACCCGGACUCUUGAACAGAACUGGUCACAUUCAUCCCCUUACUCCAGAUUCUCUAUUUCUCCUGCAAACAUGGCAAGCUUUUCCCUUACACAUCUUACAGAUUCAGAUAUAGAGCAAGGAGGAAGCAGUGAAGAUGGAGAAAAAGAUUAAAUGAAUUAAAAACUUUCUGGGACUUCAUACACAGGACGCACAGACUCUGUGUCUGAAACUUGUUUGUGUGAACUCUGGAUCUCCUGGAGUGACACAGGUAAUCAAGAAGCCCUAACAAAUGAAAGUAAACACUGAAAGCAAUGUUAAAUCAGGACAUUAAUUUGAAUGUGUAUUUAACUUUGUAAUGUAUUUUUAAAUCAGUGCAAUUUUGCUUUUCAUUAUUGAAAGAUGAUUCUGCCGCUGUUUUCAAGUACUUGAAGUAUUUUUCAGAUAACUUAAGAAACAAGUUAAGCAAUUACACUACAGUCUGGUUUAUGUAUGAGAUUGUAUAAUAUUCUUUUUAUAUUUUUCCAUGUGGUUCAUUAUCUGUUUGAACAUACACCUGUUGUAGAAUUGUGUAUAACUGUCCUGUGCAACAGGUGGCUGUGUUGCUGAAACUGUAUGAAUGAUAGUUGAUCAGUAGUGAGCCAUAUUUAUUUAAAAGAUAUCACUACAUGUUACUUUGCUUAUUACAAUUGCACUAUGGAUUAUUCUUCCUCUAUUUCCUGAUGAUGUACAGAAUCAAAAUGUUAAAUCUUUCAAGGAAUAUAAGACAAGUUGAAUUGGCCCAGUUACCCAGUUUAAUUUGUCCUUUUUGUAGCCUUUGCUAUGCACGGUACUUGUAAAACGUACAUAACUUCCAAGUGUUAGAUUUGCUGAAAUCUUAUAUUCAGUACCAUUUCUAAAUGAUGACUAUAGAUUGUUAGUGUUCAUGUUUUAUAGGAAACUGGAAUAGUGUAUAUGAUAUACUCUGGAAUUUGUAGAUGAAAGAUAAUGUCUCGAUUCCUGAAUACGAUCCUACUGACUGCUUGAACUGUAAUUCCAUCUGACUAUGUCAUACUUAAGGGCCUUGCAGUUGGUACUACAACUUUCUGCCUUGGAGAGAGAAGAAACAAAAUUGACUGUACAAAACUGGGAAUUAUGAAUCUUCUAAAAAAGACUGACUUAAACAGACUGGAUUUCAGGCAUGUUUGGCCCUUCAGUUGUACAUUCUGUGAAUUUUGAAGCUCUCUUCUGCUGACUGCAGACUGGGGCUACCAUUCAGAGGCCUGUGGUAGAUCUACCUCUCAGUGAUGUUCCGACAAUUGAGAAUUACACUAAUGGUUAAUAGCCAAUUCUGCACCCUUUAUAAGGCCAGACUUACUUAAGAUAUCUGCAGGGCUCCAUGGUACAUCUUGAAAUGCAUACCCAAAGAUGUUGUAUAGUAAAGUUUACUCUGAAGCUGUCUGUAGGGAAAGGAUUACAGUGUGGUUCUUUAACCCUCAUGCUUUCCUGUGCAUUUAGUUAAAUUCUUUAAAUUGCUUGGAAAAAAAAAUCCUUAAUUACUAUUCCAAAGUGAGUUAAUUUGAGAAACAAAUCCCUGGCCUCUUGGAAUGCCUUAUGCAGCUGCAGAUCUGUAGGAAACACUGACAGGAACAGUUUACCUGGCUUUAAAUUACAUUGUAUUUUAGUGGCUUUUUUGAGCAGGGCUUCAGUAUAAUGGUGGUCCUAGUGCUCUGUGUUCAGAUCCAGUCACCUGAAAACAUCUGCCCCAUGAAGUACAGGAAGACUGGAUAUUUACAGAUCUGUAAAGUUGGUGUCUUAUACUUCUGUAUGCAUUUUGAUUUUUUUCACGUAAGUUUUCAAUGAAAAGGAAUAUGUUAAUUGCUUCUUUCCAGCAUUAUCUAGCCCUUAGCCAGACUGGCUUCCAUACCAACCGAAAGGGAACGACUCAGUUCUAUCAAGUUACUUAAAAUUGCCAAUGUGUUGGUGAGAACUUUUUUGAUGAGGCACUCAGGUUCAGAGCUAGUAAGAACUGUGCUUCAGUGUGAAGGACUUAAGGAAGCUGUGAGCUACUUGGCAUAUAUUAAAAUAGAUAAUUGACUUUGUGCACAUAUUAUUGCUUAGAAAUUCCACAGUUUCAAUAUUAAACUCCUCAAUACAACUAGAUUAAGGUAUCACAUUGAGGUUCAGUAAUUCUCACACUCUGAACUGUGAAAAUUCAAAAUUAAGUAUGAAACUCUGUAAGCGAUCUGCAGAUGGUGUGUGGUUUUAUCUGCCUUGGGAGGUGAAAUUUUUGAAUUGCUUGACUUUGAAUAUAGUCCAAAGUUAAAUACAAGCUUGUACUCCAAAAUGUUAACAUUUGGUUGAGCAUUUUGGUCCUUAAAAUUAUGGAAACUCAGCUGUUUCUCAUCUGUGCAGCAUUCCAACAGGAAUUCCCUUGGUUUGAUGGAAAUACAAUGUUUAUUCUUUACCAGAGUUUAAAGAAAAUCUUGCAUAGGAAUUGAAAGUUUACCCGUUUGUACAAAUGGACUAAUUGCUAACAAAUUGCCAAAGGAGCACUUUUUCCAAAAUGGGCUGGGAUAUGUAUGAUAUUAAGCAAAGCAAUGUCCUUUUCAGCUAUACAAAGAGGAGAGAAAUAUGUGAAGUUGACUCACUUCAGUUAAGCUGUGGGUUUAGUUUCGGUAAUCCAGAAGGCUAGAUGGCAAUAAUCUAAAAGGUCUUCUUUGGAAAAAUAAUAUUAUAGAUAACAUCUGAUCAACUAUUAGCAGUAUUGAAAUAUAUCCACCUAGCACUCAGUGACACAACGAAGAUGAACUGGUAAUUCCACAAAUUGUGUUUUAAUGAUGUGAUGUGUUAUGAGUCAUUCUCAAAACUGUAUGAAAUUUCUUGCACUAGCUACUUGAGCAUGGUUUCAGUUUUGGAAGUAGAUGUGUCUCUUUUCAGCCUGGUUAAAUUUUAAUUCCUUCUCUAGUACAAUACUUUGGUUAUUCAAAGACAUUGGCUCAAUUUGGCCACUGAAGUAAUUUAUAAAACCUGAUUUUUUCCCUCCAAAGGAAGUUUAUUUAAAAAAAUAAAAACGAGGAUCUGUAGUAGGAAGCCAACAAAGUGAGAAGUGUGUUCAGUCUUAAUGGAAAGGCCUGUACUCUCCCAAAUCCCCUAUCCGCAGGUACGUGGCACGUCUGACUGCUCACGGAAACUGCCACGUUCGUGGGAUUGAUCGAGUUAAGCAUGUUUCAUAUCCUUGUUGAUGCACUAAUGAAAGCCAUUUAAGCCUCAUUCUUUUUAUCAGUAUUUUUAGCAGAUUUUUAUGUUGUACGCAAAGCUUCCUUCGCGAGGAGGCUGGUUGGUGGAAGGACUUCUGAUGAAGCACUGCGCUGCGGUGUCGGCAUUGUCAGGUGUUGGUGAAUGGCUAUUUUUGUUGGGGUUGGUGAAAGGCGAUGCCAGUAAUGGGUCUGGUCCACAGUAUAGCAUAGCUGGCUACUGUCAGUGUUAGCAUCCAGAGGCUGAGAAUGUACCAAAGGUUCAAAGCCACAGUUCCAGGAGACGAGUCUACAUUACAUAAUACCACCUUUAAUUAUUUCUGUUAUCACCCUUGUUUCAACUUCAGGGGAUGGAGGUGCUCUUUGUGCCUUCGUGGCACAGGCGGUAUGGUAACCAGCACAGCCUGUGGCAGAACAGAGAACUGGGAUGGCCUUUUCCUUCUCCACCUGAGGACAUCCCAUCUGCUGAAGUAAGUCUGGGAGUCAUUCCUCCUGCAGGACAAGUUGUUUACACACUGAUCUGGGUGGCUUAGCUUCCAUCAGCCUCCGGCAAUGCCUCCAUAUGCUGCCCGUGUUGCUGUAGCAUUGGUGGCCCUGUAAGCCCCGUGACCAGCCCAAAUGGGGAGCCUUGUGCUCCUUGCUGCCUGCCCACUACUUUCCCUCCAUGGGAGGAAGCAGGUUGUGGCAGUGCUCCUUCAUGUGCCUGCACAUGUCUCAUCUACCCAAACCCACACCUAGUGUUGGAGUGCUGGCACAGGCUGAGGUUGCACACUGCUGGCACUGCAGGGCUGUGGCCCCGGGGCCCGCCCACACUGCUAAUGCAACGUGUCGCAGGCAGCCAGCUGUGACAAGGCGGGCAGUGGGGCUGCUGCUGCCUCCUCAGUUGUUGCAGCGCCUGUUCGGCAGACUUCCAACAGUCCCUUGGGCUCUCCUCAGUGUGAGGGUCCUGCAUCCCUCACAGGCUCCUCAUUCUCAGCCAUCCCUGUUGAUGGACCCUUGCCCAGCUCUGAGGGCAGGCAGUGCCUUGGCUGCCCCCAUGGAUGCUGCUGCUGCUCCUGGCUUGUCACAGGUCUCUGCAAUGUUCCCCUUUGGGCUCUAGGUGCCUUCUCCACAGCUGAUGA